rnacentral:lncRNA from 1 species
UAUCAUUAGAGAGAAGCCUUACAAUCAUGGUUAAAGAUAGUAUAGGAAUUUUCAUCAAGUGAGAUGUAUGUAUAUCAAUAGAGACAUAGCAUAAUGAGUGCUAUUUGUUCUCUUCAUAUCAUUUCUAAGGUUUUGACUCUUCUCUAUGGUGAAGGCAACAAGUUGGUAUUUUAUACGAUAAUGUACCCUUCAAUUAUAGAAGAGUUGAGGGUUAUAAUUGUCCAAUUAGCAUGUAUAACAAAUUAUCAUUUAUCAGGAUACAUUUACUUUCAUCUCAGGAAACUGGAUGCCGGUGAAGCUAUUGAAUGAUAUUGUGUGGAGAUUGAUAGAUCAGAUGCUUAUAUGCAGUUAGUUCAUCUGUCUCACUUUUCAGUUN